rnacentral:lncRNA from 1 species
AGGAGGUCUGCCUGGUGCCCACCCUGUACAUUCAGACGACAGACAGCUCUCAAGCCUGUCUCCACUCCAGCAAACAGGUACCUCUGGGAGAGGACAGGGAAAGCUUUGAGCUGCCAGCCAACCGGUGCUCAGCACAUGCUUCCUGACUGCUGAGCACAGAAGCCAGCCCAGCUUCCCAGCAUCCUGCCCCGUGCGUAGAUCCACGAUGACCACCCCAAGGGGAAUCUGGGACUUCUAUUACCCAUGAAUUCCUGUGGACUGUAUCCCAUGGACUGUAUUCUCUGCCGCCUGGAGAUGAGCUGUUCUCGUGAGAGCUGGGCCUCUUUCUAAGCCGGCACUCUGAGCACCAUGAUUGUGAAACCCACUGUCGAGAAGCAGGACAA